CCACCUAUGCAUUGGGGCUUCUUUUAAUUAAUACAAAAUUGAGGUUACAUCUUUUCAAAUGUUCCUCAAUUAAUAUAUAAGGGAUUAUCACAUUAACAUCUACAACAUAUGUUAUGUAUCUUCUUCGGCCUAUUCUUAUUUUUCUUGUUAUCAUUUCGUUAUUUUUUAUUAAUUUUUUGCCAAUGUUUUCCUAAUUUUUUUUACAUAUUUUGAUUUACUAAUAAAUUUGAUUUCAUAAUGUAUUUGAAUGGAUUUGUAUGAAUUUCAAUACAUAUUUUGAUGGAUUUGAAAAUCCAAACUAAAUAUAUUGUUAUUGGUCUAUGAUUUUAAAAUAUGUAUUGAAUUCAUGUGUUAUUCGUUUAAUUAUUCAUAAAUUCUAAUUCAAAUCAAAUGUUAUUUUAACAUACGGAUUUACUAAUAGAUUUGAUUUUAUAAUGUAUUUGAAUGGAUUUGCA
rnacentral:lncRNA from 1 species